GCUUCAAAGCAAUUAGGGUGAGACCUCAUUGUUGCUGCUAGAUGAUACUGUUUAGUACUAAGUCUACUUAGGAUAAGUUUCAUUUUGAGAAGAUAUGACAGGAAAAGAGAUCUGUGACAAUUUUGGCUACUGGCCUCGCUACUUCUUGUUCUGUGUCUGGGUCAUCGACAUCGCCAUGAUAUUUUUGGUUUAUCACUUGGAAACACGUUUGAAAGAAAUAACUGAAAAUUUCAAAAGGGAAAAACAUCAAGAAGAGGUCUAUGCCAACUACAGAAUGAUAUGUGUGAGCAAGCCAGCUGAAGCAAUAAUUGAACAAUUAAUGUAAAAUUACUUGCUUACAAAUAUGAUAGUACAAAGAAAGAACUGAAUUCUUGUAAUGGAGCGUCUUAAUAUAGACCUAUUUCAUUCAAUGAAUUUAUUUUCAUCACAUUCAAAUGCAUAAUUUUUGUGUGGUAAUUUCAAAUAAGUACAGCUUGAUAAUGUGUAGACGCAUCACAACAUUUUUUAUGGUUUUAUUCGUUUUAAUGGAUACUAUAAUGAAUCUUGUUUCAGCUGGUAAUUGUCAACUUCUAUUGGUGGCUUUUUAAAAACAAUAAAUACUAAUGCAAUAUGUCCCAAAAUACACAACAGGAAACCGUUAUUUCAUGAUUUUAAUGGUUAGACGUUGAUGGUGUGUAAUGUUUGUAAUGGUAUUUGUGAUUUAUUUGUCAUAGUAUUGCAAUUUUCUGGGAUGGUUCUUUUGUUUUUUUAGCAGGGUUACCUCAUUGUUUUAUAUAAUGCCCUUUAAGUCAUUUUAAAGGCAGUUUUUGGCUUAGGUUUGUUUAAAAAAAAACGUUAUCUUAAUGCUUCUUUAUAAAUUAAUAUUUGAAGUAACAAAACCACAGUUAAUUUGCUGUUACCAUGGCUACAUAACCCAUGAUUUUUUUGGUUCUAGUCAUGUUAAAACCAUGGCUAAUUUUCGUAAAGGAGCAUGGAAGCUCAGAGAAAAACAUUAGAUGAGUAGGUGGUAGUGUAAUUAUUACCAACAUUAAACAGGUUAUUAACCUCAACACACAAAAAAGUUUCUCAUAAUUAAUUCAUCCUGUAGUGAACAAGCCAAAGUCCUCAGGGUCAAGUUUGCUGCAGCUGGUGCCAGGAGACACACUUUCCGAGGGGCAACGACAUGCAUGACCGUAUUCUACAUUUCACAUCCACUCCGAAGUAAAUGCACAAGAGGAGCCAUGAUCAAAGCAUGUAUAUUCACCAGACACAAAUGUUGUGUGGCAUCCCUGAAUAUUGCUGUAAUUACUGUUGAAAGACCAGUGGUUUCAGAAGCUUACAAUUAACACCAAGGUGGUUUAGACCAUGUGAACUAAACAUACAUAAGGGAUGUUUCUCACGAAUCUUUAACAAUGACAUCAGAUGCAUUUCAUGUAUUUUAUUGAACAUUCAUAAAUGAGCUUUAAAAGCUUAAAUCGCAGACACAAGAAAACUAAAUCCCAACUUUUUUGUAUGUACUUAAUCUUGAAACAUCGUAUUGCAAGUAUUGUUGGCUCUUGUAUGAUAUACUGUAUUGCUUGUGAAUACUGUUAAGUAUUUUUUUAUGUAUUGUCUUUACAUGUUUCGUUUUCUUAGAAAUAGUAAUAAAACCCAAAAUGCCAAACCCCUUAAUACUCCUCAAUUUCUUGUCAAGAAUUUCAUUUUUUAUCUUCAUCAUUCUAGUCUUCAUUAAUAUAUCAGUUGUAUCACCUGACAUUUGACUUUUAUAUGAUAAAUAGCAGAAAAUGUUUACUUAUA